GGGAAUGUGGCUCAGUGGUACAGUUCUUGCCUUAUGUGCACAAGACCCUGGGUUCAAUCUCCAGCACAACCA
rnacentral:tRNA from 1 species